rnacentral:rRNA from 1 species
GAUGAACGCUAGCGGCAGGCCUAAUACAUGCAAGUCGAGGGGCAGCGCGGUAGCAAUACUGGCGGCGACCGGCGCACGGGUGCGUAACACGUAUGCAACCUACCUUCAACUGGAGGAUAGCCCGGGGAAACUCGGAUUAAUACUCCAUAACACAGGGAUCCCGCAUGGGAAUAUUGUUAAAGCUACGGCGGUUGAAGAUGGGCAUGCGUUCGAUUAGCUAGUUGGUGUAGGUAACGGCUCACCAAGGCUACGAUCGAUAGGGGUCUGAGAGGAUGAUCCCCCACACUGGUACUGAGAUACGGACCAGACUCCUACGGGAGCAGCAGUAGG